GACGAACGCUGGCGGCGUGCUUAACACAUGCAAGUCGAACGGAAAGGCCCUGCUUUUGUGGGGUGCUCGAGUGGCGAACGGGUGAGUAACACGUGAGUAACCUGCCCUUGACUUUGGGAUAACUUCAGGAAACUGGGGCUAAUACCGGAUAGGAGCUCCUGCUGCAUGGUGGGGGUUGGAAAGUUUCGGCGGUUGGGGAUGGACUCGCGGCUUAUCAGCUUGUUGGUGGGGUAGUGGCUUACCAAGGCUUUGACGGGUAGCCGGCCUGAGAGGGUGACCGGCCACAUUGGGACUGAGAUACGGCCCAGACUCCUACGGGAGGCAGCAGUGGGGAAUAUUGCACAAUGGGCGGAAGCCUGAUGCAGCAACGCCGCGUGCGGGAUGACGGCCUUCGGGUUGUAAACCGCUUUCGCCUGUGACGAAGCGUGAGUGACGGUAAUGGGUAAAGAAGCACCGGCUAACUACGUGCCAGCAGCCGCGGUGAUACGUAGGGUGCGAGCGUUGUCCGGAUUUAUUGGGCGUAAAGGGCUCGUAGGUGGUUGAUCGCGUCGGAAGUGUAAUCUUGGGGCUUAACCCUGAGCGUGCUUUCGAUACGGGUUGACUUGAGGAAGGUAGGGGAGAAUGGAAUUCCUGGUGGAGCGGUGGAAUGCGCAGAUAUCAGGAGGAACACCAGUGGCGAAGGCGGUUCUCUGGGCCUUUCCUGACGCUGAGGAGCGAAAGCGUGGGGAGCGAACGGGCUUAGAUACCCUGGUAGUCCACGCUGUAAACGGUGGGUACUAGGUGUGGGGUCCAUUCCACGGGUUCCGUGCCGUAGCUAACGCUUUAAGUACCCCGCCUGGGGAGUACGGCCGCAAGGCUAAAACUCAAGGGAAUUGACGGGGCCCCGCACAAGCGGCGGAGCAUGCGGAUUAAUUCGAUGCAACGCGUAGAACCUUACCUGGGUUUGACAUGGAUCGGGAGCGCUCAGAGAUGGGUGUGCCUCUUUUGGGGUCGGUUCACAGGUGGUGCAUGGCUGUCGUCAGCUCGUGUCGUGAGAUGUUGGGUUAAGUCCCGCAACGAGCGCAACCCUUGUUCACUGUUGCCAGCACGUUAUGGUGGGGACUCAGUGGAGACCGCCGGGGUCAACUCGGAGGAAGGUGGGGAUGACGUCAAGUCAUCAUGCCCCUUAUGUCCAGGGCUUCACGCAUGCUACAAUGGCUGGUACAGAGAGUGGCGAGCCUGUGAGGGUGAGCGAAUCUCGGAAAGCCGGUCUCAGUUCGGAUUGGGGUCUGCAACUCGACCUCAUGAAGUCGGAGUCGCUAGUAAUCGCAGAUCAGCAACGCUGCGGGUGAAUCCUUUCCCGGG
rnacentral:rRNA from 1 species